AAAGUCAUCCUCAGUUCGGACUGGGGUCUGCAACCCGACCCCACGAAGCUGGAUUCGCUAGUAAUCGCGCAUCAGCCAUGGCGCGGUGAAUACCGGUUCCCGGGCCUUGUACACACCGCCCGUCAAGCCAUGAAAGCCGGGGGCGCCUGAAGUCCGUGACCGCGAGGGUCGGCCUAGGGUGAAAACCGGUGAUUGGGGCUAAGUCGUAACAAGGUACC
rnacentral:rRNA from 1 species